CCCGCACAAGCGGUGGAGUAUGUGGUUUAAUUCGAUGCAACGCGAAGAACCUUACCUGGUCUUGACAUCCCAGAAAUCCCUUGGAAACUUGGGAGUGCUUCCAUUAGGAAGAAUCUGGAGACAGGUGCUGCAUGGCUGUCGUCAGCUCGUGUCGUGAGAUGUUGGGUUAAGUCCCGCAACGAGCGCAACCCUUGCCUUUAGUUGCCAGCAGUUCGGCUGGGCACUCUAAAGGGACUGCCGGUGUUAAACCGGAGGAAGGUGGGGAUGACGUCAAGUCCUCAUGGCCUUUAUGACCAGGGCUACACACGUACUACAAUGGCCGAUACAAAGGGCAGCGACAUCGCGAGGUGAAGCCAAUCCCAUAAAAUCGGUCUCAGUCCGGAUUGGAGUCUGCAACUCGACUCCAUGAAGUUGGAAUCGCUAGUAAUCGUGGAUCAGCAUGCCACGGUGAAUACGUUCCCGGGCCUU
rnacentral:rRNA from 1 species